UAUCUCAGAUGAUUUUAUUCAGUGUUUUCGUAAGUUGGAAAAGUUUGACUGGCACAGGAAAGCAUGUCCCAUUAAAUUAGCAAAUCUUGUAAUGGAAUUAAAGUUGUUCUGGUCAGACUCUGUGAGGCUUUCCAUAUCUGGCACUACAUAGCCUACUCAAAGCUAUUUCCCACUGUAGUCCACCUAUACCUGCUAACCAGGGUAUCUCUUCACUGUCCCACUGAGGUGACUUUCUGAUGUCACAGUCAUGUAGACUGUUUCCUCAUAAGAGUUACUCUCGGCCGGGCACGGUGGCUCACACCUGUAAUCCCAGCACUUUGGGAGGCCAAGGCAGGCGGAUCACAAGUUCAUGAGAUCGAGACCAUCUUGGCCAACAUGAUGCUGGUUUCUGCAGCAGCCUCUCUGCAACCUGAGGGCAGCAAUGCCGACAGGCAGCAAGCUGCAGGCACACUUGACAGAUGUGAAGAUCUGGGUUCUGGGGAUGCUGUUGAGCUGCUCGAUGAGCCCACUUUGGACCUGCCCUACCGCCAGACUUUUUGUGAUCCAAGUGCAAGGAAAUUACAGGGCUAUCAACUCUAUCUCUUUCCAAGACCAGAAAGUCGGCAGAUGGAGAACGGUUUCUAGAUGGGGAGGGAAUCUGCCUUUGGAACUUUUAGCGACCUGGUAUGGUUCAACAUUCCAUCACUAUGCAAAAAUAAAUAAAUAAAUUGCAGACCAACGUACAAAGGAAAGCAGCAAAGUUACUCUUCGCGGGGACGGUUGUGAACAAGCCUGGACACAAGGCAGCAAAACCGUGAAGUGGGAGCUGGCAUGGACAGAAAAGCAUACAGGAAAGGUAUCUGGAUUCAAGUAGUGUGAAAGAGAUUUCUAACAUACUCAUAGUGAGUGGGAGAAGUUCCCUGGGCUCCCCCCUUUUAAUUCUUUCACAUUCCACACCCCUAGGCAAACCUAUGUCAAUGUUGG
rnacentral:lncRNA from 1 species